GUCCACGCCCUAAACGAUGUCAACUAGUUGUCGGGGAGGGAGACCUCUUUGGUAACGCAGCUAACGCGCGAAGUUGACCGCCUGGGGAGUACGGUCGCAAGAUUAAAACUCAAAGGAAUUGACGGGGACCCGCACAAGCGGUGGAUGAUGUGGAUUAAUUCGAUGCAACGCGAAAACCUUACCUACCCUUGACAUGCCUGGAACCCGGUAGAGAUACCGGGGUGCCCGAAAGGGAGCCAGGACACAGGUGCUGCAUGGCUGUCGU
rnacentral:rRNA from 1 species